CACAUGGUCACACCUACACAUAAACAAAAAUAAAUCUUAAAAAGUAGUUUUUGAGAGGGUUUCAGACAUAGUUCUGUGGCUCUGCAGAACUAGGUAAUCUGUUAAAGUAGUCAGACUGAAGACACCCCAGGUGGGAUAAGAUAUCCCGCUGUCAUAAUGCCCUUAUCACUGAGGACCCUCGAGUCUGUUGGUAGAGCCAUACAGUGGAGGAGUGCUUCUGGGAAGUGGAGUCUUUGUGCACCUGGCCCCAGAAUGCACCGGGCUUCUUUCAUUAGUCCGGCUCCCGCAGUUGCGGUGCAGCAGUGACUGCUGGCCGCCCGUUUUUGAUGGCAAUUUGGCAGAGAGUCAAACUUUGGCCCCGAAGCAGAGGUGGCACAAUUAGGCAGCUGAGAAGCAUUCUCUCAACACACACUUUUAAUUGAUUUCAGCUUGUUUCAGUUUGCAAAGACAGAGCUGUUACACGCAGCGCAGCGGCCUUCUUUCGAGGGGCUUAUUUUUACUUUCCCUUUAUUCAGCAGCGCUAAUUCAACAGCACCAGAAGCGACAAUAAUGGCAGAGCGCUGAAGAGAGCAUCUUUGGCAUGGCUUGGAUGCAAAAAGUAUUAUUAAGAACUAAUGAGUAGGAUAGUUAGAUGUUAACCAGAAAAGCAUCAAUGAGCAGAAGAGCGAACGAGCGAUCGAGCGAACAUUCUGGGGCAAACAUCUGCCUCUGAAGCAGAUGUUACCUUGUAAGUUUACAGAAGGAAAGGCAGCGUAAGUGUAAGCUGGUGGUUUUAGGUAUGGCAGGGACAGGGAGAUAAUCACGGGGCCUUCUUGUUCUUCUUGAACUCACAGAUGACUGUGGAUAGAGGUAUGGGCUUUAAAUAGGAAAGGUAUCAAGCAAGGAUGAGGUGACAUCAGUGGCAGCUGUGGUGGAUUGUGACCUGAGACUGUCAGCAACUAACUGUGUUCUCCCCUGCUUUAUCUAGAGCCCAGACAUCUCUUCAGCACACAAGGUUACAGCUGCUAUAACCUUGUCCAAUGAGAGGUUAAGACCUGUGACCCGUUCAGCCCCAGCCCAAAAUUACCUAACCUACUGCUGACUUGUAGAACAGCUUGGUUUAUGCAGAUGAUAAUGAGCCAGUGGCCACACAUUUUCUCGUUACACAGUCAAGGAGGCGUCAGCCUUUCAAUGGAAAGAAGUCCAGUGGAGAAGAGGAUGGGGCCAGCCUCCCUGAUGCUCUGAUACUUAGACAUGGGGCUUUGGAGUGGAGUAAAUUCCAGCCACCAAGCCAUGUGACUAAAGUUUGCCAUUGCAUGGCACAUGUAUUUGUACCCGAAUGAUCAUUGGUAUGGUGACAGGGAACCUUUUGCCACUCUCCUUUGGAAAGCUAUGUUCUCCAUCAACAUGUAACCGAGAUUCCCCAGCACCCUGCCUAUCUUUGGAGGAUGGACUGCAGAGAUAAGCUAGCCAUGCAAUCCAUAAUCUCGAGCUUGCAGUUAUGUGUUUGGCUCUCGAUGGAUCUGCCCUCUACCACAAAGAAAGGUCUUUGAAACAUUUCAGGGAGAAUCUCUUGGCCAAUGACAACCUUUCAUUGAGAUUUUUCAUUACAUAUUUUGGGGGCUCCAUAGGCUAUUGUAUGGAAACAUUUCAGCAGAGGACCCCAAGGAUGACCUGUGAAUACAUGCCGCAGAGAGACGACUUUAACUUUGUGUCAGAUUGUCCACUUGUAGAUGUGAAGUUUCCCUUUCCUCUGUGUGUAUGUGUGUUUACAUACACACACGGAUAUGCAUGCAAGUGUGCAUUGUGUGUGUGUGUGUGUGUGUGUGUGUGUGUGAUUUUCUCUCAUCUGGAAAGAGGGCAGAUCUGGAGAUCAUUUCGCAGACUCGGGGGUCAGUUUAUGCAUAGUCCAUAGUCCUUAGGAGCAUUCAUUCCAUCCUAGAGAAAGCAGGGGCGCCUCCAAGAGCAAAACAUUCUCGGCGUCUUCCUUCUGCUGUUUGCAACACUGACUCACAUUUCUUGAAGGAGGUUCGGCAUCUGCUGUGUGGUUCUCAGUGUGACACAAGUGGGCUUCGCUUCCCUCCCAGGGAAAGUGUGCCCCUGCCUCACCUGUUGAGGGCAGGUGAGGUGAACAGAGCUUGUGUGUGUUGAGGAGCCUGGGGAGGAACCAUCCUGGUGGCUCUCUCAGUGGAGCAGAGUCAGCUGUGCUUGUCCCCGCUUCACCUGCCUGAUGGUGACACAGAAGUGAGGUUGGAAAGGUUGUGCUGUGCCUUGAAAUCUCAUAAUGACAUAAAUGAGCCAUUCAGUGCCCGUGGAAGGAGCUAUAGAGAGAAUUCUCAAAUAACAACAACAGCAACAACAAGCCACUUUUCUCUAGUACGGACUUUACCAGUGUUGUUGCUGGUUCCCACCCCUGUCAUGCCCCGACUCUGUCAUCAUGUUGACCCUCCAAGGCACACUUUACUAAUGGGGACCAGAACUUUGUGGGGACUUGGCAGAUUUCUAAAGUCCCACUUCUGGUAGAUGAUAGAACCAGACUUUAACCAAGAUCUGCCUUUCUCCCAAGCCUGUGUUCUUUCCAUACUGCACAGUCUGCUCCCCUGGCCCUGCCACUUUGUGCUUCCCCAACACGAAACUUCAGGCACCUUCUGGAACAAGCUGUUUGGUUUCUCGCUCAUGUGGCUUUCUUCUUUCUUGCAUAACCAACUCGCAUGAUCAGCACAUGUACACACAGAGAGAUAAACAUAGUUAGGAGUGCUGUAAGGAAGUCAACGGUGGGACUGUAGACCAGAGUGGCAUUGAUGGGAUGGAUAACCGGUGCUUCAGAAGCCGGUACGGUCUGGAACCCCCGAGCUGGCCUAGAAACGGCUUGCUAACAGAAGACAUCUGCGCCUCUCUACUUUACAAGCACCGUGACAAUCUCCACAAGCCACAAGGUCUGAGGAACUGUAACAUUUAUGGCUCCCUGGCCAUAAAUUCAUGCGGAGCCCAUGAAAAUGCGGCCCCAUGGGGUUAUGGCAGAGAUGCAGAACUGCAAACAUCUGCACAUGGGCAGUAAAGCUAACCUCUGGUGCGCGGCCCUCCACUGUUGCCGACAUAUAUUAACAUUAGUGACAAUUGAAUGUGAUUAUCUGGGAUGCCAUUUUAUCUGCCAGCUGCAGACUUAUGGCUCCUAAAGAUCCCAUUCCUCCCUUUCCUCAUAUGUUGUUUUUAUGUGACUCAAAUUGUAUGCAGGAAUUCAUGAUUACUGGGGGCUUCCCUCUUACUUCUUAGUGGAUGCAGGCUAUGUAUAAAUUUCCAGUACUUAAAUUGAUUGUAGCUUUUAGAUGAAAUAGGCCCCUCAAAAGUCUGUGAAGCAGCUGCGCAAAUGGCAAAGCAUUCAUUGUUUUAUGUCUGAAGACCCCACCAAGAGCCUGGGGGAAAAGAAUGUAUUUUGACACUGGUGGGCAGGGCUUGGGGCCAGCAAGUUUGUGAAUUCAUUUUUAUGUUAGUUGUUUGGAGUUUGUGAUUAAUAUGUCACAUUGUCAAGGUUUAAAUCUCUGAUAUUUCUUUUCGAUUAUUCAAGUUGGUUUUAUGAAGUUUUUCUGGGCUGGAGAGUCAAUUCUUUAGGCUUUGCGACUUAUGUAAUUUCCAUAGCAAUUACUGACUACCAUCAUUGUAGAGAGAAAACAGUGUAGGCAAUCUAUAAGCAAAUGAAGCAAAUUUCAUGGCUUCAUUGAAAUAAAAUUUUAUUUAUAAAAAUAGGCAGCAUGAUAUUAUUUGUUGAACCUUGCCUCAAACACAUGCAGAUAUGUCCAGUUAUUGGGAAAUUUAGGAAGACUUUAGAACUUUUAGGAAUGAACCCGCAUCUCAUUCCAGUUGACAAUAUCCAAAGUUGCAAAACACCAAUUUUAAGUUAAUAUAAAUUGUAGUCUUUAGUCUAGCAUAAGCCUGCUUAACGUUUGCUUGCUUUUAGUUCGUCCAAUGCAUAGAGCGCUCCAGUCAUAGGGAUUUGACAGAGUGUAAGUGUUCAGAGGGAAUGGGGCUGAGAGACAUCAGUCUUGUAGUGUGUUUCAUUGAGUUCCUUUCAUACAGCUUGUGUGUGGUGUUUGCGCAUGCUUGUAUGGGAGUGUGCACAUGUGCUUGUGGGUUUGCGUGUAUGUGUGCCUGUGCGUGUGGACGCCAAAGAUCAACGUUGGUUUUCACAUUAUUUUUUAAAAGAGUUAUUACUAUUGCUAUUGGUAUUGUUUUAAGUUUGAUGAUUUUCACUGUGUAUGUUUGCAUGAGUGCAAUGUCUGUGGAUACCAGAAGAGAUCAGAAGGCAUUGGGAUCCCUGGACCUGGAGUGGGUUCAGGCCCUUUGGAAGAUCAGCAAGUGCCCUUAACCACUGCGCUGUCUCUCCACCUGGCACUGCUUGUGUGGCAGGAAUGUCCUCCACUGAGCCUUUCCCCUGCCUUUAUGAAGUCUUGCUUAAGACUGUGGGUUGGCAUGAGCUUUUGCUCUCAGAUAAGUAGAAUUUCAGACUGGGUUGAACUCCUCAGGCGUCUGAGAGCAAACGUUUAGACUCACAGGUCCUCUUGAGACAUCGUCCUGCAUCCUCAGGCUGAUGUUUUGCUUGACUCUGAGAGUGUGCCGAGGUCGGAUUUUGCAAAUAUUUGCUGGAUGAUAGCUUCCAAAUGGCAAAAAGGUUUCUAGUGUUGCAGUUUGAAAAAAGAUUACAGAGAUCUGUGAGCAAAGUAACUAUUACAGUGCUGGGGCUGCUUUUCGACUGUUGUGGAGCAAUAUUUUAUGGUCCUUCAUCAGUCUGAGAGACUACCAAAUCCAUAUUGCACUAGAGCCAGGGACUGACACCAACCCAGACCUGGGCUAGCAGCCUGGGCACACGACACCUAGAGAAUUUCUUCUGAUCCCUACUUGGCCACACGGAGAUGAUCCCAUCUUGUAAUUUCAAGUGCACUUCUAUGGGUAGCAACUACUGACAACUGUAAGUUAAGCCAAGCAAACUCUUCUCUUCUAUGCCUUCAUCUUAGCAGAUAAGUGACUCAGAAGACGAGAUAAGAGAAAAUCUGGGAGGGAAGAGCAAAGCUCCACCACCCUUGUAGCUCUUUGUGGGACUUUUUCCUAUGGUCAGAAUCAAAUGGUUUGGAUGGCUCAUUGCCUCAUUAGAGCAGAGCAGAGGGCAAAUGGGGUGAUAGCUUCCUUGGGUCAGUUGUUCUUGGUGUGGUACUCAACAUUGCAGCAUGAGCAUCACCACAAAGCGUCUCAGAAAUGGGGAUGUUGUGGCUGGAGGAGGGCUCAGAGCACCACCUGAUCUUCCUGAGAACUCAUGCUUGAUUCCCAGCAUUCCUGUUAGCUCACAACUGCCUGCAACUCCAGGUCCAGGGAUCUGAUGCCUUCUUCUAGCCUGUGUACACAUUAUAUACACAUGGUGUACAAACAUGCAUGGAAGCAAAAUACUAAUAAAACAAAAUAAAAGUGGAUAAAUCUCUUUAAAAUGUUAAAAGAAAUAAAUGGGAACUUCCAGGAGCUGAAGUCAAACUGCAGACUGAGGGUCCAGAAUCCCCAUUUGAGCUAGGGAUCUGUCCUAACCAGACCUGCACUUCAUUGUACAUAACCAGUUUGAGUCCACCACCACCACCACCACCCAACCAGAUCUCUUUUCCAGGGGUGAGGCCCAUUCCCGCCAUCCUUGGAGCCUGGAACCAGCAGCAGGUGAGGCCGGGCAGGAUAGGGUGUAGUCUCCAGAAUAGUUCUGUGGCCUCUCCCAGCAGGGAGCAGUAUCUUGAAGGAUAACAGUGGCAGUGGCUGAACAAUAGAGUGAUCUAGAGAGGAAGGCUCCACCCUAGGUAAUCUCCUUAGUGGCAGCAAGGUCAAGGUCUGGCUUAGCCUGCUUCAGGCUAGGGGAUGUUACAAAUAUUCCAUGCAGAUGACACCAUUAUGUCUUGAUGUAAAAAGGUUAGACACACCCGAACCAUUAUUUUCUUUAAAUGAUGAUGGAUAUUGAGGACGAAUUAGAAUGGAAGGUGUGCCCACCAUCAGACUGCUGGCUAGAGGGUAGGGAUUAGCUCUUUGAUUAGCAGGCCAGCUCUCUACUAGCCACAGUACCCCCUGAGCACUUGGUAAGAAGGUAGAGUGUGGACCAAGUUUUGUAGGCUGUAGUCUGAUGAGUCAUAGAAAGGCUUGUGAUGGUGGUCUUUCCUCUUUCCCUGAACAGCCUUUCCAGGGGUCCCAACAACUUCCCAAGGAACUUCUUUUAAAUGAAAGGCUCCUCUGCAAAUGCCUAAGAGCUCAUUAGUAAGAGAGGAGAGGGAGGAGGAGGGGAAGGAGAGGGAGGAGGAAGGAGAGGGGGAUGGGGGGGGGAGAGUGGACCUCUUAUCACGUGGUCAUGGGAAUUAAAGGUUAAUAUUUUGGGUCACUUGGGGAUGAUGCAGCUAAGUCUGGAGAGGGAAACAUACACACAUACAUGCACACAUGCACAGGCACGUGCAUACACAGCAUAAACAGAUUGUGAAGACUCGUGGCAGAAAACAAACAACACGGAGAAAAUCAAAGAAGAUGGGUGGAACAGAAAGGGCCUGCAUUUUGAAUAGGUGGUAUGGAUUCCAGAAUGAUCUGUUUCCUAAACACUUUUGGUAAAGUGGUGUACACAGUGACAGAGCCGAACAGCUGCCUCGCUGACUUGGUGAAUUGCUCUGUUUCAGAACUCAUAGCUCCCUCUCCUCCAGGCAUCUGUUACUGAGAACACUCGAAGGUUCUGCCAAGAGAUCUCAAACUGGCAAUGGGAGGCUUGGAAUUUAGAAAAUUGGGGGAGGCGCAUGUGCAUGCACAUCCCCACACACAUAGAUGCUCCUUACCUCCUGAGAAGACUGAGGGCAUCCUGGGGAGAGAGGCGGAGAUUUCCCCUUGUUUAUAUACCUCUCAUAAAGGUCACAUAACUCAGCACUAUCCCUUUAAUUUUUAUUUUAUUUAUAUGUAUGCAAGUGUAUCUGUGUAUGUGUGUACACAUAUGUAUAUGUUUAGAUGUGCAUGGAGCCUGUAAGAAGGUAUUGGGUCCCCUGCAUCUGGAGUUACAAGUCACACAAGUGGAGUCAUCAGUUGCAAGCCACUGGAUGUGUUGGGAACUGGACACCAGUCCUCUGUAAGAGUACUCUUAACCACUGAGCUAUCCCUCCAACUUAUAUUUUGUUUUUAAUCAUUAAUUUAUUUCCUGUGUGUGGUGGGUGCUCUUGGCAAUCAUGUGGCAGAGGACCGCUUGCUGUAGACAUUUCUCUCCUUCCACCUUGUGGCUCCCAAGGAUCCAAGUCAGGCCAUCAGUUUGGCAGCAAAGUACCUUUACCCACUGAACCAUCUUGCAAGUCCAACUCCAGCUCUUUUGAUUAUUCUCAGGUUCCAGAGAAACUUCAGCAAGACAGUAGCUUGCUUUUCCCAGAGACACAAUGAAAUUGUAUCUGGAUUGUGUGCGGUCUACACUUAGGUUCUUCCAUGAUGUGACUGAGUGACUGUCCAAGUAUGGUUAGUGGAGUCCACAGGAGGCUUGUGCUAUUCCAAAGGACCAAGCAAAGGCUAAAUAGACCAGAACACUCUAGAAUCGAGAGAGGAAAUGAUGUUGGCCUUCACUGUGAGGCUUGGCAGAGAUCCCAAGUGAGGAGAAUGGCUUAUGUGGCCAGUGUGGCAUAACGAUGCCUUGCCUUUGCCUCUUGCUUGCUCUCUCCAUCCUCUUGGCUGUGAGGGAAUGGCUCCUGUAGGAGGAAGCUGCCUCUUACUCUCAUCCUAAAUGAUACCUGGCCUUACUCCUUAUUAGUGAAAGAAAGGAGAAAACAAAGCAAGGCUCCCCAAAGGUCUGUGCCUGAAAUGGCUCGCUUUAGACUUCUAGUGCCUUCCAUUUUCCCUUAUAUGGUUGUACACGAUCAACCAGAGAGGCCUCUGUUUUCUCCUGUGUGUGUGGUGGGGGUGGGGUGGGGCGGGGAUAGUAAUUUUCAUCUUCCCCGUGGCUAAGUGUAGGAAGAAUCAUUUAUUUGUGGGCAUGCCUUCAGGGGUGUAGCUCACAUUCACUUAGCCCUUGCAGCUUGGGCAGAACAUCAUGGAGGGGGGCAUGUGUUGAAACACUACUUACCUCAUGGUUCCAUGACCAGGGGAUGAGGUACAGAAAGCAAGACAGAAAAUAGUCAGGGAUAAUACACACACCUAGGGUUUAACCCCCUUUGGGACUUAAUUCCCUAGGUAGAUUACAUUUCCCAACAUAGAACCACUGUUUGGGGACUAAGUAUUCAAAACCUGAACCAGUGAUGGGGAAUCAUACACAGUCACAGCACUGGCUUCUGCUUGUCUCACACGAAGGGACUUUGUUUUCUUGGGGGAAAGUAACUCCCAUCUAGGGAGCUGUAUGGGGGGGGGGUGAGAGGAGGUGUGAUCUAAGGGGGUUAUUUCUUCCUUCCUAAUCCCGCCCCCCCGCCCCGACCCAGCACUAGAGAAUGAUAGAAUCCUCCUCAGAUGAGCAAACACCACAACAGCUGGUGGUAGUCUCAGUGUAGGUGAGGUUAUUUGACUGUUUAAAACUGGGCUUUUCUGAACUAAAGGAGUUUAUAAAACAUGGUGGGCUUUGACCAUAGUUUUGCAGCCUCCAAUUUGGAAUGAUUCACCCCGUUCCAGUAAGCCAGUGAGCCUGGACACCUUUGGAAGGGAGUACUGCCUGGUGUCCCAACAACGGGAAGGAAGAUGCCAAUCCAUCCUUUUGUCGGAUACCUAUUAGAACCCGGGAUUUGCUGUUUAAGGCGGCUCAUCUCCUGCUUUGGAUUCUGCCUGGAAUCUUAAUAGCACGGUCACUGUGAUGGUGGCUGGUAGGGUCCAUCCACUGAGAUAUUCUCUCAGGGUGGGAAAGGGAAGCCAUGUCUCCCUUAGGGAUGUGACCCGGCCAGCAGGUCCAGUUAUUUGAGGGUCUCGAGGGGACCUUCUCCUAAGAACCAAGUUGGGGGGUAGAGAAAGAUGAGGACCUUGUGCGAAUAACGACACUGAAACGUUCUGAGUUGCAUCAAGGCCCCAAUGUAUUAGCCAGGCCCAAGGUUUAAAUGCACAAGCAAAAGGGGAAGUACAGAUACUUAUCAGCGGGAGGGGUGGGGCAAUAGAAUUGCACAAGCAAAAGGAGAAGUACUUAUCAGUGGGGGGGUCAAUAGAAAUUUUUUCUUUUGGCAGCUACACGGGGAAGCAGGAACUUGGUGGUAUCAGGGUGUGGUCAGGACAACGGCGGCGAUGACUUAGGGCUGGAACAUUCUGUGGUUGAAUCAGUGUCGGUGGCCCGCUUUUGACCCCCUUUUCUUCUGGGGGGGGGGGAGAGGCCCAAUUCAGAGAUCAGGACAAUUGUGUUGUCUUAAUGGCUCCCAACAGGGAUGGUCCAUUGUUUCCUGCCUGCCUGUGGUAGAGGCUGAGGCAAGAGCCCUGCAGAUCAGCCAGGUGGCGCUACCCAUUUGCCAGACACAACGCUCACAGCAAUUCCUCAUGUUUCGAGUGGGAUACUUUUAUGUCUCAGGUGCGGGCCUACUAGCAAGCCAGAAAGGAAGGUUUUGUUCAGAAUAGAAGGUUGAAGGGGGGAUCAGGAGCCCUUCAAUGUAAUGCCCAAAAUUAACUUGUAAGUCCCAUGGGCAUGAACCAGGUAACUUCCCAGAAUGCUGGGAGUUGUAGUUCAUGGUAAAUAAAAUGUCAUGGGAAAGUACAGUGAUCUAUGUGUUUGUCUUUUUUUUCUUCAAUAAUUUAUUUUUGUAUUCACUUUACAUCCUGAUUGUAGCUCCCUUAUUCCUCUUCUCCCAGUCCCACCCUUAUAAAUCCUUCCCCCCAUUACUAUCUAAGGGGACGCCUCCCUUGAGAACCAUUCCACCCUAGGACAUCUAGUCCCAGAAGGACUAAGCCUAAAGGCAGUCCAGGUAGGGGAAGGGGAUCCAGUGGCAGGCAACAGAGUCAGAGACAGACCCUGCUCCAAUUGUUAGGGGACCCACAUGAAGACCAAGUUGCAUAUCUGAUGCAAAUGUGUAGAGGGCCUAGGUGCUGGCCCUGCAGGCUCUUUGGUUGGUGGUUCAGUCUCUGUGAGCCCUUAUGGGCCUAGGUGAGUUGAGUCUGUAGGUUUUCUUGUGGUGUCCUUGACCCCUCAGGCUCAUUCAACUCUAUCCCCCACUCUUCCACAAGGCUCCCUGAGCUCUGUCUGAUGUUUGACUAUGGGUCUCUGUAUAUGUUUCCAUCAGCUGCUGUGUGAAACCUCUCAGGAGACAGUUAUGCUAGGUUCCUGUCUGCAAGCAUAGCGGAAUAUCAAGAAUAGUGUCUGAGGUUGGAUAUCUCACAUGGGAUGGGUCUCAACUUGGGGCAGUCGUUGGUUGGCUGCUCUUAUAAGCCCCUACAGCAAGUGUCUUGAGAACAUUUUCAGCUGGGAAAUUCUGGAGAAUGGCCCUGACUAAAUCCAUCUCUUGGACAGCAUAUACUAUUAAAACAUGCUUGCUUUAAAUUUGGCACAAAAUGGUGGAGGUUUUUUUUUUUUUUUUUUUUUUUUUUACUAACUCUUCCCAUGACAACACUUUAGGAUUCUUUGGCUUGUUAUUCAAUUGACAAAAUACUAUAUUUUUUUUUAUUUUAUCUCUUCUCUUGGAAUUUUAGAAUUCCCUAGCUACAAGAAUUAUAAAGAAAUUAUCAGUAGGGAUUUAUUUAUAAGUAGAAUGUUGCAUUAAAAGAGGUUGAUAUAAUGCUUCCCCGAAGGACCAACAUCACUGGCAUCAACUCAGUCCCCAUGAGGACCUGGAAAGAGCUCAGUUACCACUAAGAGAGGGUAGAUAGCCUGUCCCCAAGUAUGCCGCACAGCACACAGUGGUCCCAGCUGACCUAGGAAGUGAGUGUGUCUUAUGCCCAAGGUUUGAAAAUGAUUAGUACAGCUGAAACCCUAGAGGUGGAUCUCCUAUGUGCCAGUUUUCUAGAAUAUUCCUGUAACUAUUGGCAGGACUAAUUAUUGCUGAUGAAUGCCUGUAAGGCCCAUUAAUCCUAGUCUUCUGGGAGGUUUCAGCACCUGCUAUAGUUUCCUAUGAAAAGGAAUAGACAAUCAAGGAAGGUAAAACCUAUUAAGAUAUGCUGUCACUAAAAUCAACUAUAUUCAACAAUCUGACUAAAUAUGUGUAUAUGUAUGUGUGUGUAUGUGUGUGUGUGUGUGUGUGUGUGUGUGUGUGUGUAUAUAUAUAUAUAUAUAUAUAUAUAUUCCUAAGCUUGUAAAUAAUUUAUAAUAUGACUCAUCCUCCUGCCUUUCUAUAAACUCUAUCUAGUCCAUCUCCCUUUUCCAAAUAUAAAUCCCUAAAGGUUAUGAGCACUCCUAUAUUUGAAGCAGUAAGGAGCAACAAAGUUAUCCUUUUCUGGUUUCUGUGUGCCCUCGGGGAAGCUCUCCCCAGGAGAGAGGAUGAAAUGGCUCAGUGCCUUCAGACCUUUAGAAAACACCUUUUGGGGGUCAGCACCUUGACUCCCCACUGUGCCAGAGCUGACGCGUGAGGCUCUCUAAGGUGCUUCCCAGAAAUGGGUAUGGGCUUUGGGACAGCAUAGGGGGCUUUGAAGAGUGUUGACUUUAUCAGCCCUGUGACUGUUCACUUUAUCACUUUCUUCCUGUGUGAAAUGUCUGCAGACACAGAGGGAGAGACGCUGGCCAGAUGGUGAGGCGAAGGGAAAGGUCACAAAAUGGUUGUAAUUCUAGCAGCUGAAAUCCCGUCCCUAUCUCUUCAUGUCAGCUUAGGGAAGAAACCCUAGUCUGAUUCAGCUCCCAGGAAAGGAGGAAGAUACUGUUACUAAUGGUUGCCCUGACCUGAAUUCUUGCCAUGUUUAUUUAUUCCCAGUGCUGCUAUAUACAACUGAUAGGCUGCCACGGCCACACCCAUAUCCAGCAACAGUGAUCUUAUUCAGAGAGAGCAAGUCAGGCCACAUUGCGUCCUCUGUACCCAUCACGAGCAGACAAGCAGCAAGCAGCUGAUGUGAUGGAAGGGGCUCAGCAUGACACAGUCACCAUGCCCGCAUGGUACCCAGAGAUUGUAUGAUGCCAGGCCUAAGAUAGGCCAGCAGAAUUUGAUGCUGCUUUGAGCCAUGCCUAUCUUUGCUAAUGGCAUAUUUGUGCAGGUUCACACAUGCUAUCCACUUGUACACAUCCAUUCCCCUUCCAAACAAGUGACCACUGAGCACCUGCUACUGUUUGUUAUUGAGCUCAGUGUGGGGAACACUGUCAGUGACAGAACAGGACACUCCAUGUCCCCUUGUCACCUGGGCUCAUCGAUGUGAGUUGUGCCCACACACACACCUGAAGUGGGUUCAAAGAUGACUUUAAUACCAUCUCUUGGGUCUUCAUUCGCUUUAUCUUCUUCACCAUUGCUUUCCUCGGGGCUAGGGAUAAUUUAUUUAUUAAUUACUCUGUUCACUGACAGAGUGCUUGGCUAGAAUGUAUAAGGCUCCUGAGUUUGUUCUCCCAGAAUCUCAAAACACAAACAAGGUAAGACAUGAAAUGUAAUUUAUUUUCCUUUUCUAACAUGGAUGGAAGAAGAUGGGAAAAGGUCUAACACUGAUUGCAAAACCCUAGGUUUCCUUAAGCCUUUUGCACUAGAAACAGGAGAUUGUCAGCAUACCCAUCUAUGGGAUCUUUCUUUCUUAAAAAGUGAAAAGUGGGGGGCUGGAGAGAUAGCUCAGUGGUUAAAGAGUAGUGGCUGCUCUUCCAGAGGUUCAGAGUUCAAUUCCCAGCAACUACAUGGUGGUUCACAACCAUCUGUAAUGGGAUCCGAUGCCUUCUUCUGGUGUGUCUGAAGACAGUUACGGUGUACUCACAUACAUAAAAUGAAUCUUUUUAAAAAAUAGAGAGAGUGAAGAGUGUAUUGUUUUAUUUAUGUAUGUGAGUGCAUCUCUGGGUGAGUGAGUACCACAUGGGUACAGGAGUCUGUAGAAGCCAGAAGAGACCCGGAUCUCUUGGAGCUAGAGUUACAGGGAGUCGUGAUCUACCUAACUGGGUGCUGGGAACCUACCAUGGGUCCUCAGGAAGAGCAUCAAGUGUCCUUGCCAGCUGAGCCGUCCAUUUGUGGUAUUCCUCUACAAUGCCAUCUAGCCAUCUGUCUAUCUCAUUCUCCCAUUCUCCAGUAUAGACCCCUGGGUGACACCGGGCAUCACCUACAGUUAAAGAUGGUGUCUGCAGCUGCCAAAGCCUCUGACCGUGCUUUGAGAAGCGUGCUCUCCACACAAAGGUGCCCCUUUGCCCAGCGAUCCCCUCACAGUGUUCCCUCCAUUUAAGACAGACACUGCCUCCACAGUCUGUUCUAGUGUUUUCCUUGCUUCCCUGUGCUGAAUUACAGCCCCAGUCAACGGCCCACUUGUGUGUAAUUCAAGAAGCAAUUAUGGGCUUUUUGCUUUGAACAAGCAAGGGAGGGGGGUAGAAUGAAAGAUGAUCAUUACCCUACUAUUCCUCUGCUUUAGCCAAACAGUUCACAGAGCCUUGAUGCCAAAAGUCACGGGCCUUGAAACAGUGGAGGGUUGGGGGUGGGGGGGAGGGGCACUGCCUUCCACAACCACGCCUGCCUACUAGAAGGCAGGGACUCAUCCACCAUCAGGUUGAGGGACACAAGCUGACUUUAGAAUUGUGUUUAAAUACGAUUGUAAUGUCUGCACCAUGAUCCACAGCCUGGUGAUGCUAUCGCUGCAAAUUAAAAUGUGCAAACUUCAGAGUCCUCCGAAGGAAGCUCACAGUCUCGGCUGUAAGCCUUUUGUUUUAUUCUGUGGGAUUUACUCUAAUCGGAAAAUGGCAGCCUUAUCUCUCUGAGCGAGGCCACAUGAAUGGUGUCUAUCUUUAGUUUCUCUAUUCCUAGAGGGCAGGGGCUUUUAUCUCUCGGAUCCCACCGGGUCUCUAACAGCGCUGGCGAUCGAAGCUGCUUAAAUAUUUUUGUUGCGAUGAUCAAGGGAUGGCCUUCUUACUUACUGUUUGCUCCGUAAGUACAUCUGCCACAUGUGGAGUAAUAGAUGACACUCUGGGAAGAGAAAGUCACCAAAUGUCAGCGCUUCACCAAUGUGUUCAAAUGCCCACUCUUCCUCCCCACUCCCCCUUCAGCAGCAGCAGCAGCAGCAGCAGCAGCAGCAACUGAGAAUGUGUUUAAAAUGUACAUUACAGAUCUGGUGAGGUAGCUGAGUGGAUAAAUGCUUGCCACCCAAACUUGAUGGCCUGUGGUCAAUCCCCAGAGCCCAUCUGAAGUGCCUGGCAUGGUGAUGCUUACAUUUAACUUCAGGACAGGGUAGGUUAGAGAUACAUCCCUGGGCUCACUGGUCAACAGGACUAGCUUGUUUGAGGAAUUCCAGGUUCAAUGAGAGAACCUAUCUCAAACAAGGUAGAUGGCACCUGAAGAAUGAUACCAGAGCUUGACCUCAGGUCUUCACACAGGGUUCAUCUAUGUGUACACACACCCAAACACACAACACAAACACACACACACACACACACACACACACACACACACCUGUGCAAAUAAGCAAAUAAAUAAGUACACUCUUUGGCCUGCCCUCAAAUGCUGUGGUGUCCAGACCAUCCAAGUGUUGCUAGCUAUGCUCAGGAGUCAGAAUAACUUAAGUCCAAGUCCAUACUGGAUUUAGCAGCUGCAGAAAGCAUGUAAUUCAUCAAGGCCACAUGGGGCAGGUGUGCAAUGGGGUGGUUCUGACCUUGACCUGAAUGUCUCCUUGCUUCUCUGCUUAGAAUGCAUGCCCCGGCAGGCAAGGACACUAAUUCUUGUUCAACAUCUGAGCAGCUGUGAGGUGAUGAGGUUAGACCAGGAAGACUCGGGUCAAUGUGUAGCACUGCUCCAGUAGCUUGGAGACUUUGGGAAAACCCAUUAACCUCAUUACACUCAACUGGACCUGCGUUUUCCCAUUUCACGAAUGGAGAUAAUUUUAUCUGUCCUGUCUGAUUCAUAGGACGUUCUGCUCUAUUGAGAUAGGGGUGCUUUUUGGAACUUGGUCCAAAGUUAAGACCUCCCUUUGCCUCCGGAAUGACUGAAGGUGUUCUGCCAUUAAGGAUGAGAGCUCAGUGUGCAAGCAAAGGACUUCAUUUAUUUAUGACACAUUUGCAUGCCUGUACAUGACAACACAUGCAUGUUAACACUCUCUGGGGCUUCUCUAGUAAGGAGCAACAGGACUUCGGUGGAGUCUGAUCAACCUAAAUAAGACUUCCCUCCUCCAACCUGAGACUCCAUGUUCAGUUACUCAAGCAGCCUUUCCUUGAACUACUGGAACCCCGAGUUUGGUAAUACUUGGUGAUGUCCAAAGUGUGAGGGCCAUGUAGAAGCAAGAACCUGAAGGCUGUCUGCCAAGUACUGAUGCCAGUAGGCAUGGAUGUUGCCUUGUCUCUGGGCAGGGGUGGGACUUAGUAGUAGCAGAUGUGGGAAGCUGGUUGGCUGAGUGUCUGCUCUGGCUGGGCCAAGGCUAUUGGAAAAGGGGAGGACAGAAGAGAAGGAGUCCUGACAAGUCUCACACACAGCAAGGCUGAAUGCAAAUGAGACUUCAUACAGACAAGUGCCUACAUCCAAAGGAGCUCAGGGUCAAUGGAUGAAUUACCAAAGGUGUCUGGUGUUUUGACUCACUUUUAAGUCCUCUGGAGGCCAUUGAACAGCUGAGUUGGCUGAGUUUAAACUGCCCCCAAAGGGGCCAUGUGUGGUGCUGCAUACCAGUGGUCUUGCGAGACCAACUGUGGAAGAAUACAAGUUCAAGGCCAUCCUGGGCUACACAGCAAGAUCCUAUUGCAAAAGAAACAAACUCCACCAUCUAAGUGAUGUAUGUGCCCUGCUGGGAUCUAACAGCACAUUAGAAACCCUGAUCUCAUCACCAGGUGGACCCUAAGCAGUGCUGUCUCACCCCAGUGUGCAAAACAAUAGCUACCGAAGGCUGCCUGUCUUUCUCUCUCUCUCUUUACAGAAUUUCAGUGACAUUACUAUCUGCCCAAGGGACACACCGCACUAAUGAGGGAGUUCACUUGAGAAGCCAAUGUGUACGUCAUGUUGAAUGCCUUCGAGUCAGAUACCCCAAGAGCCUGAAUGAGAGCCUCAGUUCUGGUGUCUCCUUAAGUGCAUGAAUCCAUUUUCCUUUCUCUUCUGAGCCUAAAGCCUUGGACCCACCCCCUUGGGUUGAAAUAGGUCACAGAAUCACAGCAUAAGCAACCAUGCUUUUUCCAGGCAGUUCAUGCCAUUUGAUAAUUGGUGCCACUGAGCAGUGAUAGAUGGUGCUGUGGGGAAAUGGGACUUACACCCUUCAAUGUCACCAUCACCAGAGAAAGCCAUGCUUUCACGAUCCCUCUCCUCCAUGAUUCCAUACCUCAUUGAACACUUUGGUUGGCAAUAGAAAUGGAAUGGGGAGGACAUUUGGUUUCACCAGGGGCACAUCUGCAAUCUGCCUUCCCACCGUGACUCACAACCAAACCACCGCUUUUGGUUUGUGAGGCUCAAGAAACCACUUGAGCAGUUCGUAGCACCCGAACAAGAGAGACACCUUGGCCACUUUUAUGUCAGAACAGCCAUGCCCUUCCUGUUCUUUACAAAGUCCUCUUGAGAGUGUGUGUGUUUGGUGGUGGACAGAAGCACCAUAGGGGAGGAGUUCCAUCCAAAAUCCUCUAUUGCUACCAAAUUGUGUUGGGUCUGUUGAGACCUCAGUCCCUGGAAUUCCCUUCUUCUAAAAUGCUGCUGGAUUGGAGAAACUAAACACUUAGCAUAAGAUUAAGAUUACACACUGUUCUAGGUUUGGACCCAGUCCUCAAACAUUACCACAACCGAUGAAGUAGACCUCAUACUGUGUCCCUGGUUCCCCACAGGGUCAUAGGUAACUCUAUGGGUGAGUCUCAACUCCCAAUAUUUUUUUCUGUGAAUAAGUUAGACUUUACAAAAUAAAAAAGAAAUGUUUACCAUUUAAAAAGCAACCCAAUGCAUACUCAUUUUGUUAAAAGAAGUGAACAGAGAGCGAUUCCAAUUUACACAGCACUUCCUUUCUGUUAUGUUUUGCUUUUCUCUGUAGAAUGGAGAGCUUAAAUUAGAUUAUUAAAGUCCUAGACAUGCAGUGUUGUUGGCACACAUGUAGUCUCUAUUCAGAGCUCACAUCUGUAACCUCUGCACCCUGGUGACUCAGAGUAGCUUGCAUAAGAAGAAUGUAGACAACUUUACCCACAUUGAUCUAAUUAAAUCACAUCCUAAAAUCAUACAAAUGUCCACCAAUUCUCUAUUGUCCUUACAGACCUACCCGUGCUGGUGUCUGCAGAGCGACUGGCAGGAGGGAAAUGGUGCAGGUGACAAGUCUUUGGGUGAAAAGAAAGAAGUGGCGGUGCCUUGGCUUGCUUUCAGCCCGUUCUAAUUUGUAAUGCUCUUGCCUUCGUUUACAAUCUUGUCCAUGUACAUAAACAGUAAUUUGCUCUUCUUAACACAUACUGUAGUUAAGAGUUCUGUUGGGAGCAAUUGGUGUUCUUUAUCUGUGACAUCACGAGCGUUUAAAAAA